AGAACGAACGCUGGCGGCAUGCCUAACACAUGCAAGUCGAACGCCUGUAGCAAUACAGGAGUGGCGCACGGGUGAGUAACGCGUGGGAACCUACCCUGGAGUGGGGGAUAACCGAGGGAAACCUCGGCUAAUACCGCAUACGACCUGAGGGUGAAAGAUUUAUCGCUCUAGGAGGGGCCCGCGUCGGAUUAGCUAGUUGGUGAGGUAACGGCCCACCAAGGCGAUGAUCCGUAGCUGGUCUGAGAGGAUGAUCAGCCACACUGGGACUGAGACACGGCCCAGACUCCUACGGGAGGCAGCAGUGGGGAAUAUUGGACAAUGGGCGCAAGCCUGAUCCAGCAAUGCCGCGUGAGUGAUGAAGGCCCUAGGGUGUAAAGCUCUUUUGUGCGGGAAGAUAAUGACGGUACCGCAAGAAUAAGCCCCGGCUAACUUCGUGCCAGCAGCCGC
rnacentral:rRNA from 1 species